AUUGAACGCUGGCGGCAGGCCUAACACAUGCAAGUCGAACGGUAACAGGAAGCAGCUUGCUGCUUUGCUGACGAGUGGCGGACGGGUGAGUAAUGUCUGGGAAACUGCCCGAUGGAGGGGGAUAACUACUGGAAACGGUAGCUAAUACCGCAUAACGUCGCAAGACCAAAGAGGGGGACCUUAGGGCCUCUUGCCAUCGGAUGUGCCCAGAUGGGAUUAGCUAGUAGGUGGGGUAACGGCUCACCUAGGCGACGAUCCCUAGCUGGUCUGAGAGGAUGACCAGCCACACUGGAACUGAGACACGGUCCAGACUCCUACGGGAGGCAGCAGUGGGGAAUAUUGCACAAUGGGCGUAAGCCUGAUGCAGCCAUGCCGCGUGUAUGAAGAAGGCCUUCGGGUUGUAAAGUACUUUCAGCGGGGAGGAAGGGAGUAAAGUUAAUACCUUUGCUCAUUGACGUUACCCGCAGAAGAAGCACCGGCUAACUCCGUG
rnacentral:rRNA from 1 species